CCGCUGAUUCGCUCAUAUCCUUGCAUGGAUGCGAAUGAUAUGAGCCCACCAGCGAGA
rnacentral:pre_miRNA from 1 species